CGGUUCCGGCCGAGGCUGCUGGAAGUCUUGGUACAGUCAUCAGCACUCGCGAAAGAUGGUAUUUGGGAAAACAGUGGUAAAAUAUCCUUAUAUGCCUGCGCACAGACACCCCCAUCACCCAGCCAGGGUUCAGAUUCUCAAGGUAUAUAUUGACCUAAAGAUUUAUUUACUUGGCUAGUGGGGUUUACAAAGCUCUGCAGUUGGCUAGAUACUGAGCUCCCAUUGAAAGUCACUGAAGCUCCUGACCCGAGUUCUGCAGUGUGACAUUCAGCUUCACUUCGCAAGCGUUGCCUUAAGUUCACUGCAGCUAAUAGACGCUCAGGACUACAGAGGUCCUUUUGUGUGAGACAACAGGUGUGUGUAAGGAAGUCUUAUCCAGGUGGGUGGUGCUCAGAAAGUCAUGUAACUGCUUGGUUGCUUAAUAAUGUGUUUCAUUAAAUCUGCUUUAUGCUGCUGGUUUGAGUGGCCGGCUGAGGAGCUGCUUCACCAAGAGCUGGAAGGUGCUGAGCAAUCAAGACCAUGGUAGCAACAGAGUGAUGUAAUAAGAAGGAUGAAAUCUCAAAGUCUUUGGACCUUGAAUCAAUAACGGAUCGGAAUAAACUCCAAGGGUAGGAGUCCAGUUGCUCCAGUAUGGGGUCUGUUUCCAAAUGCUCCUCUUUCAAGAGUCUUCUGUGCCAUCCUGUGAUGAGCCUGUUGUGCAGCCCAGUAGAUCUCAGUGUCAGGUGCCGGCAAGACUCGAACUACCUUUGAAGUGUAAGAACUACCGUAAAAGUCAGGAUUCAUUCUCGGUAUUUCCUGCGCAUUCCUGGAGGCGAUUUCAAGUCAAAUGACACAAGGUAAUAAUAACAUCUCACAGAGCUGUAACUCACCUCUGGAAGCAGAGGCAGGAGGAAACACAACCUGCACAUUCUUGCACCCUCUGCUGGUAGCAUCUCUGUCGACAGACACACCUAGACCAGAUUUUAUAAUUCCUCUCAAACCUGGAUGGAUACAUUCACAUUUAGAGACAUGAAACCACCGUUACAAAGUUUCAAGUUUCAGGGCAGAACAGACCAGCCUCCACCAGCUGCUGUUGCAGUCAGCAGGAGCCAGAGCAGCCAGAGAAGAGGUCUACCCUCUCCAGCCCCAUCGCAUGCUGCCUGCAGAUGGCUGUGGUCAAGUGUCUCAUCGCCCUUCAGGCAAAUCCUUUGGUGCGGGCGGGUCUGUGCUGGCCCCGUAACAGAGCUGUGCCAGGUCUUGUCCCCAUCACAGAGCCAUUCCCUCCGAAACUGCUGCAGUCCCUGCUGGAAACUAUCAGCAGAAGAAUGGGAUCUAGUGAUGCCUGUCAGGUUCCUUGCCCACCCCAGAGACUUAAUAAACAUUAAAAUUAAACACAGCACUUUGUUACUGUCAAAGACAUCAUAAUGCAAGUGAAGUGAAUAAAUCACUCCAGUAAAAGCAAAACUUUAUUAAAGCAUUUAUGAUAUUAAGGUAUGUAGGAGCAGAUCGGUUCCUCCUUUUUGCCCCAUCCCAUAGUACAAGAAGGGGCUGUAAGUGGGUCACAGGAGGGUGGUGUCAAAGAAGAAUAAUGCCUCCUCAUGCAGGCUUCAGUCAGUCUGCUCAACUCACAUCUCCAAGAAGACACAAGAUUAAAUGCCCUUGCUUGGCUUUUAAAGAGGGUUGGCAGUUUUGUCACAAGUAACAUCUUUGACCUUCGGAGCCCUGCGAAGCCAAGGGGUCACAAUUCACCCUUCAGCCUGGAGCAUCCUCCACAGGAACCACAGGAGCCUGGGGAAAUGGUCUUCUCUAGGUGCUGCUCAUUGGGAGUAUUAUAGAUGAGUUGUCCCCUGAACCAUCAGGCAUUAAACCACUAUUAAAGCACAGAAACUCCCAGCGUGGCAGGUCAGUGUGAAUUAGUCAGACCAUUGCUUGGACCAGAGUGACAAAUCCCAUGUGACUAAAAAACCAGAAAACCAAAGCUAAGGCAGAAAACAGCUGAGCAUCUCUGUUACGGAUGUAUGUGUUCUCUCUCCUGUGUGAGGCCCGGGUCAUGAACACACACGCCCACUCCCUGGGUAGCUGUCACACUCAGCUGCCGUCACUGACAUGGGCACACCAGCCUGUGCUGCCACCAGGCUGGGUGUGAGGAUGUGCAGGCAGAGUGGGUCUGGCCUGUGCGGCGGUGCCAAACCCCGCUGCAGCGCCAGCCACCUCCUUUGCCCCCCCACCCUUCAGUCCAUUUUUG